AGUAUUUUAUUUUAUUAGUUUUAUAAUAUUUGGGAUUUAUAAAAAUAUUUCGGUAAUUUUUGGGAGAAGUUUUACUAAUAAGUUAUCUCCGUAAAUCAGUUAAAUACGGAUAGAGGGUAAAAACAUUAGUUAGCUUAUAUUAGGUGGCAGCUUCGGUUAUUGCCACUGAUCAAUACUCUUUUGUUUUUUUUCAGCCACGUAAUACACCUCCUGCAGUCACCUCCUUUUCCCCAAUUUCAAAACCUUCCCUCUGUUAAUCUCUCGACCUCACCGCCUCUUCCCCCCUCACUUCUUCCCUCUCCACCGCUACAUCCUUACACACCCUCUCAAUCUCUUCAUCCAUAUAAUCACUUAUCCUACGUCUCUCUUCUCUCAGCAGCAGCGCCGCUCUCCUCCGUUUCUCCUUCUACUCGAAGCCGUGCUCCUUCCCCUGGGGCUCUCUCAUAAUCGCUUUCACUUCCUAAUUAGAAGUUCAUCGUGUUCCAUAUUCGUUCGAAUUUAGUUAAAUCCGCCGGCAUCGACAAUGAAGCACCGUGUUACUCUUGGAGAAUCAACCGAGACUUUAUAUCAAGGACAUUCAGAAGUAGUUGAAUAGCUUUGUGAAUUGAAUCAGGAAUAGUUCCUUAAGACGAAGCUGUGCUGUGAGAUAGUCCGGUAGAAAUUAAUCGGUGUGAAAAUCAGCAGAACUGAGAUAGUGUUAAAGAUGAUUCAUCUGUCCAGGCUACGCGUAAGAGUAAUGCUAGGCAAGGAUUUCAAGUGAUUAGUUGUAACUGAAUGAUCAGGUAAGGUAUUCAGGAAGAUGUCUGCGAGAUUAGUGGUAAUUAGAGUUGGCUUAAUUUCGCUUCAAAUGUAAAAUAAAUUUAUUAAAUAUUAUCAGCUACUCUGAUAAUUUAGAUUGUGUUGUAAUAAGAUUAAUUAGUUGUGAUUCUGAUUUCAAUACUAUAGCCUGUUUGCGAUCCUGUUUUAAAGGGGGUUAAACUUUGUUCUUUUAAAUUUUUUAUUAAAGCUUUCAAGUUUUAAAUUCUUUGAUUUAUAUUAGCUUUUCAAAAAUACAGGUUUUCAAAACUGCAAAUUAUUUUUGUUAUAUCCAGGUUUUGAAAUACUUGUUUUUACUUUCUCUCAAAGAUACAAGUUUUAAAUUGUUUUUUUAGUGGCUCAAAAAUACAGGUUUUAAAUUAUUUUUAUUUACACGUGGCACCAAAUCCAGACCCCCGGAUUUGCGGGCUGUCACAGUUGGUAUCAGAGCUGCAGGUUAUAAGUUAUUGAAAUCAGAAUAUAGGUGGUAAUAUCAAGUUUAAUAAGGAGGUGUGUUAAGUGUAACCUCACAUAGAGGUAGUCUACAGCUAUUUAGAAUAGUCGUGUCAAUAGAACCAAGAUUCACAUAUAGUAUUGACCUUGAGUAUAUCAUAGUGUGUAUAAUAGGUUUCCUGUUCCAGAACUAGCAAGUUUAUAUCUCAAGGAAGAAAGAACAGGCCUCCACCAGUUUCUAUCAUAUUGAGUAUUUAGUACCAAUACUAGCAACCAAAUAGAUUCACUUGUUGAGUCUAGAACUUCACUAAUUAUUUCAUAGUCCUCGUCACUAAGAUAGAGAUAAAUUGGAAGAGUAACUUUAUGUGUUUAUAUUAUAGAUCAAAAUUUCUUAACACCAGUUUGAUUGAAACCCAUAGUUGGUGGAUAAGAUUUCCUUCAGUAUUUAGCUUGUUAGUUGAUUUAGAGUCUAAAUCAUUUGAAGGGUGAAGGAUAGACCUAUUAGGUUAGCUUUAUAAUGGGACUUAAUUGAGGUUGGACCAGUAUAGGUUCUCACAUAGUCUAGAGUAAUUUUUGUAGUGUCUGCCAAUUUUUGAAUAGUAUUUGGGGAGUUAUCUUUGAUUCUUGUUAAAGAUAUAUAGAAUUGGUGAAAGAAUAUAGGUGUUAACAAGUCCGAAUUUAAAGCUUUGUAUAUAGUGAAGUAGUGAGCAUUAGAGCUAAUACAAGAAUAUGAAACUUGUAGGAUCAAGUAAGAAGUUCCGUAUAUAGUUAAAUAAUGAACGUUAAAGCUAUUUAGAGCUUGUGUAGAUUAGUGGAUAUAGUACUUGUGAGUAAGUUAAGACGUCAAUACUCAGUGGUGAUGAUUAUACGAAACUCGAUAAUAUUGCGGACUAUGCGAAGCUGAGCAGGACUUCUGACGAUCAUGGAUAUUUAUAAUGAGAUCUUUACAGUCCAUUGUGAGUCAACGAUAAUUUACGUUAUUGAGCAUCAUCGACCGCUGAAAAAUAGAAGAAGAUUAGAAUCGAAUAAUGAUCCAUCAGAGCAGCAUAUCUUGAAGAAUCUUGGCAACACCUUCCUCUUUUAUUGCUUAUAUUGAUUACUUUCUUCAUCAAUGAAUUGUUUUGAAAUUUUUUUUUCCUAGAGACAUUUAAUAAAUACUAUAUUUCUCUCUCCUGAGUUAUAAAAUGAUGCUUGUGUCUAUUUCAUCAUUUCUAACUAAUCUUUUCAUCAAAACUAGCACCUUUGGAACUUAUUCAAUUUUUUUAACCCAAGGUGCGCAUCAAAGAUUCCUUCAUCAAAAAGUCGAUCAUUUUUGGUUGAUUUUGAAUUUCUAUCAUAUUAUUCAACUCUAACUGAGAUGAACAACCCUACCUAUAGGGGACACAAGGACUACCGGUCUGUGUGAUAGGAGUUGGAUGGGACGCCAUCACUUGUGUGUGUUGUACAUUACAAGAAGGUUAAUUACCUUUAGUAGUGUCUUAAUUUAGACACGCAACACUGAGUUCUUUAGAUCAUAUUGAUCUCUCAGUUAUUCUUUUGUUUCCAAUCACGUAAUAUUUGUUCCAAUAGAUCUAAUCUUUCAUAUUCUUGUAAUUUCCAAAAGGUAUGCCAACUGAGUUGCCAAGUAAAAUUAAGCCUUUGUAGUACGAAGCAACAUAAGUAAAAAGGAUGAUGACGCGGGUAUACGGAAAUAAUCGAGAGAAUUUUAUAUUAGAAAUAAGGAUUAUUACAGAUUGAAGAGAUCAUAUGUUUUAGUUUCUUUUUGUUGAUUCCGAGGACGGAAUCCUUUUAAGGGGGGUAGAUUGUGACAACCCGGAUUUUUCAAAAUAUUUUAUUAAUGGUUUUUAUAAAAAGGAGGAAUAAAAUUUAAUAUUUUAUUCCAGUUUGGUAAAUUAAAAAAAAUAUUUAAAUAUAUUUGUUUAAAUAUUUUCCUGGUCAUCGGGGUUAUGGGAAAAUAUCUGUUGAUCGUGCAAUUAUCUGUUACGAUUUAAUUGAUCUAUUUGUAUACGAUUAUGUUUGUGCGUGCAUUUAUUCCUGCUUUUGAUAUUAUUAUACAGUUUAUUAAAAUUUAUUAUCCUCUUAAAUGGAUAUUUAUUUUUGUAAAAAUACAAAGAUAAUUUCAAAAAUUAUUUUAAUUGCUCGAUAGUGAUCACAAAUAUUUUUAGGAGUUUGUAAAAUUUUAAAAAUCUUAUUUCUAUAAGGACAUGAUUUUUAAUUAGUUUCUGAACGCAGCUAACUUCUAAAUUUUGUAAAAAUUUUGAAAAUGCUCUGUAAAUUAUGAGUAUUUUAUUUUAUUAGUUUUAUAAUAUUUGGGAUUUAUAAAAAUAUUUCGGUAAUUUUUGGGAGAAGUUUUACUAAUAAGUUAUCUCCGUAAAUCAGUUAAAUACGGAUAGAGGGUAAAAACAUUAGUUAGCUUAUAUUAGGUGGCAGCUUCGGUUAUUGCCACUGAUCAAUACUCUUUUGUUUUUUUUCAGCCACGUAAUACACCUCCUGCAGUCACCUCCUUUUCCCCAAUUUCAAAACCUUCCCUCUGUUAAUCUCUCGACCUCACCGCCUCUUCCCCCCUCACUUCUUCCCUCUCCACCGCUACAUCCUUACACACCCUCUCAAUCUCUUCAUCCAUAUAAUCACUUAUCCUACGUCUCUCUUCUCUCAGCAGCAGCGCCGCUCUCCUCCGUUUCUCCUUCUACUCGAAGCCGUGCUCCUUCCCCUGGGGCUCUCUCAUAAUCGCUUUCACUUCCUAAUUAGAAGUUCAUCGUGUUCCAUAUUCGUUCGAAUUUAGUUAAAUCCGCCGGCAUCGACAAUGAAGCACCGUGUUACUCUUGGAGAAUCAACCGAGACUUUAUAUCAAGGACAUUCAGAAGUAGUUGAAUAGCUUUGUGAAUUGAAUCAGGAAUAGUUCCUUAAGACGAAGCUGUGCUGUGAGAUAGUCCGGUAGAAAUUAAUCGGUGUGAAAAUCAGCAGAACUGAGAUAGUGUUAAAGAUGAUUCAUCUGUCCAGGCUACGCGUAAGAGUAAUGCUAGGCAAGGAUUUCAAGUGAUUAGUUGUAACUGAAUGAUCAGGUAAGGUAUUCAGGAAGAUGUCUGCGAGAUUAGUGGUAAUUAGAGUUGGCUUAAUUUCGCUUCAAAUGUAAAAUAAAUUUAUUAAAUAUUAUCAGCUACUCUGAUAAUUUAGAUUGUGUUGUAAUAAGAUUAAUUAGUUGUGAUUCUGAUUUCAAUACUAUAGCCUGUUUGCGA